CAGGUUGAGGUCUCUGUAAACUCCUGUCCUUCAUUACAUACAUCUCAUCACUGGACCUUUCCUGAACAGACAAGCCUUCCUUGGACUUCCCCAACUGUGUGUUAGUGCAUCACUGAACAGGGUCCAAUACAGUAAUCUGAACACGGCCCUGGAUGGUCCAAAACCUAACCUGGAAGUAUAAGGAAAUUAUCUGGGACAGAUGAUCCAAACCUAUCUGCUGCCUUUGAUACCGUGAACCAUCAGAUCCUCCUCUCCACCCUCUCCGAGUUGGGCAUCUCCGGCGCGGCUCACUCUUGGAUUGUGUCCUACCUGACAGGUCGCUCCUACCAGGUGGCGAAUCGCAUCUCUGCAUGUCUGGCAGACAUAUCAGUGUGGAUGACGGAUCACCACCUCAAGCUGAACCUCGGCAAGACAGAGCUGUUCUUCCUCCCGGGGAAGGACUGCCCGUUCCAUGAUCUCGCCAUCACGGUUGACAACUCCAUUGUGUCCUCCUCCCAGAGUGCCUCCUCCCAGAGUGACCCUGGACAACACCCUGUCGUUCUCCGCUAACAUCAAGACGGUGACCCGAUCCUG
rnacentral:lncRNA from 1 species